rnacentral:rRNA from 1 species
UCUAACAUGUGCGCGAGUCACUGGGAGCACUUGCUAAACCCGGAGGCACAGUGAAAGCGGGGUAGCAGCCCAACGUGGGCCGCCGUUGGGAGGAUGUCGAGCGGAAUUCCCGCAAGAUCGCACUCCCGGGGCGUCUCGGCCUCGGCCGCAUGCGCACCCCGAGCGCACACGUUGGGACCCGAAAGAUGGUGAACUAUGCCUGGUCAGGACGAAGUCAGGGGAAACCCUGAUGGAGGUCCGCAGUGAUUCUGACGUGCAAAUCGAUCGACAGAGCUGGGUAUAGUGGCGAAAGACUAAUCGAACCAUCUAGUAGCUGGUUCCUUCCGA